CUCACAGUUAUAAGCCCACAGCGCUCACCACUGUGCCAGGGAGGUCGUCAAUAUCAGAUAUCGAGGGAAAGGUGUCUGCCUGAGCCGUUGGCGUCGAGUAGUUACGAGUGGACAUACUCGUAGGAAUGGACAUACAUACAUACAUACAUACAGGUCAAACACUAACCCUCCUUUUGGGCUUGGUCACAAUCGGGUAAAAAAAAAUUCAAAGUAAAACCUUUGUAUGGGGAUUGCGUAAGAAGAAUAUAUUAUGGGUACCUAUAUCUUAGUUCGCUUUUAGUAUUGCCAGGUACCACAUACUAAAUUUUGUUUGCGACAGAUCGAGAUGGCAAUUUUCUAGUGAGGUGACAUCACAUACCGGGUAAUCGAUAACGAUAUUUUUUUGGUACGCAACAAAA